CAGUCGAGCGGAUGAGGUAGCUUGCUACUGGAUUCAGCGGCGGACGGGUGAGUAAUGCUUAGGAAUCUGCCUAUUAGUGGGGGACAACGUUCCGAAAGGAGCGCUAAUACCGCAUACGUCCUACGGGAGAAAGCAGGGGACCUUUGGGCCUUGCGCUAAUAGAUGAGCCUAAGUCGGAUUAGCUAGUUGGUAGGGUAAAGGCCUACCAAGGCGACGAUCUGUAGCGGGUCUGAGAGGAUGAUCCGCCACACUGGGACUGAGACACGGCCCAGACUCCUACGGGAGGCAGCAGUGGGGAAUAUUGGACAAUGGGGGGAACCCUGAUCCAGCCAUGCCGCGUGUGUGAAGAAGGCCUUUUGGUUGUAAAGCACUUUAAGCGAGGAGGAGGCUACCUAGAUUAAUACUUUAGGAUAGUGGACGUUACUCGCAGAAUAAGCACCGGCUAACUCUGUGCCAGCAGCCGCGGUAAUACAGAGGGUGCGAGCGUUAAUCGGAUUUACUGGGCGUAAAGCGUGCGUAGGCGGCCAAUUAAGUCAAAUGUGAAAUCCCCGAGCUUAACUUGGGAAUUGCAUUCGAUACUGGUUGGCUAGAGUAUGGGAGAGGAUGGUAGAAUUCCAGGUGUAGCGGUGAAAUGCGUA
rnacentral:rRNA from 1 species